rnacentral:rRNA from 1 species
GAUGAACGCUGGCGGCGUGCCUAAUACAUGCAAGUCGAGCGAACAGACGAGGAGCUUGCUCCUCUGACGUUAGCGGCGGACGGGUGAGUAACAUGUGGAUAACCUACCUAUAAGACUGGGAUAACUUCGGGAAACCGGAGCUAAUACCGGAUAAUAUAUUGAACCGCAUGGUUCAAUAGUGAAAGACGGUUUUGCUGUCACUUAUAGAUGGAUCCGCGCCGCAUUAGCUAGUUGGUAAGGUAACGGCUUACCAAGGCGACGAUGCGUAGCCGACCUGAGAGGGUGAUCGGCCACACUGGAACUGAGACACGGUCCAGACUCCUACGGGAGGCAGCAGUAGGGAAUCUUCCGCAAUGGGCGAAAGCCUGACGGAGCAACGCCGCGUGAGUGAUGAAGGUCUUCGGAUCGUAAAACUCUGUUAUUAGGGAAGAACAAAUGUGUAAGUAACUGUGCACGUCUUGACGGUACCUAAUCAGAAAGCCACGGCUAACUACGUG